rnacentral:rRNA from 1 species
UACGUAGGGUGCGAGCGUUAAUCGGAAUUACUGGGCGUAAAGCGUGCGCAGGCGGUUCGGUAAGUCCGAUGUGAAAUCCCCGGGCUUAACCUGGGAACUGCAUUGGUGACUGGCGGGCUAGAGUAUGGCAGAGGGGGGUAGAAUUCCACGUGUAGCAGUGAAAUGCGUAGAGAUGUGGAGGAAUACCGAUGGCGAAGGCAGCCCCCUGGGCCAAUACUGACGCUCAUGCACGAAAGCGUGGGGAGCAAACAGG